rnacentral:rRNA from 1 species
AACGAACGCUGGCGGCAUGCUUAACACAUGCAAGUCGAACGAGACCUUCGGGUCUAGUGGCGCACGGGUGCGUAACGCGUGGGAAUCUGCCCUUUGCUACGGAAUAACUCAGAGAAAUUUGUGCUAAUACCGUAUAAUGUCGAAAGACCAAAGAUUUAUCGGCAAAGGAUGAGCACGCGUAGGAUUAGCUAGUUGGUGAGGUAAAGGCUCACCAAGGCGACGAUCCUUAGCUGGGCUGAGAGGAUGAUCAGCAACACUGGGACUGAGACACGGCCCAGACUCCUGCGGUAGGCAGCAGUGGGGAAUAUUGGACAAUGGGCGAAAGCCUGAUCCAGCAAUGCCGCGUGAGUGAUGAAGGCCUUAGGGUUGUAAAGCUCUUUUACCAGGGAUGAUAAUGACAGUACCUGGAGAAUAAGCUCCGGCUAACUCCGUGCCAGCCGCCGCGGUAACAC